GGAGGUGUGGCUCAGUGGUAGAGUGCUUGCCUAACAUGUGUGAAGCUCUGGGUUCAAUCCCAGUACUGCAG
rnacentral:tRNA from 1 species